GAGUUUGAUCUUGGCUCAGAUUGAACGCUGGCGGCGUGCUUAACACAUGCAAGUCGAGCGGUAACAGGCGUAGCAAUACGUGCUGACGAGCGGCGAACGGGUGAGUAAUGCUUCGGAAUCUUCCUCGUAGUGGGGAAUAACCUGGGGAAACUCAGGCUAAUACCGCAUACGAACUACGGUUGAAAGCAGGGGAUCGCAAGACCUUGCGCUAUGAGAUGAGCCGAAGUCGGAUUAGCUAGUUGGUGAGGUAAAGGCUCACCAAGGCGACGAUCCGUAGCUGGUCUGAGAGGACGACCAGCCACACUGGGACUGAGACACGGCCCAGACUCCUACGGGAGGCAGCAGUGGGGAAUAUUGGACAAUGGGGGCAACCCUGAUCCAGCGACGCCGCGUGUGUGAAGAAGGCCUGCGGGUUGUAAAGCACUUUUAGUGGGGAUGAAAAGCCAAGGGCUAAUACCCUUUGGUCUUGACCUAACCCAAAGAAAAAGCACCGGCUAACUCUGUGCCAGCCGCCGCAGU
rnacentral:rRNA from 1 species